rnacentral:rRNA from 1 species
CCUACGGGUGGCAGCAGUGGGGAAUAUUGCGCAAUGGGCGAAAGCCUGACGCAGCGACGCCGCGUGAGGGAUGAAGGUCUUCGGAUCGUAAACCUCUGUCAGCAGGGAAGAACGGUCACUGUGCUAAUCAGCAGUGAAUUGACGGUACCUGCAAAGGAAGCACCGGCUAACUCCGUGCCAGCAGCCGCGGUAAUACGGAGGGUGCGAGCGUUAAUCGGAAUUACCGGGCGUAAAGCGCUCGUAGGCGGUAUGUCAAGUCAAGGGUGAAAUCCCCGCGCUCAACGUGGGAACUGCCUUUGAAACUGGCAAACUGGAGUGUGUGAGAGGUGAGUGGAAUUCGAGGUGUAGGAGUGAAAUGCGUAGAUAUCUGGAAGAACAUCAGUGGCGAAGGCGACUAUCUGGCACAUAACUGACGCUGAGGAGCGAAAGCGUGGGUAGCAAACAGGAUUAGAUACCCGAGUAGUC